AUUGAACGCUGGCGGCAGGCCUAACACAUGCAAGUCGAGCGGCAGCGGAAGGAAGCUUGCUUUCUUGCCGGCGAGCGGCGGACGGGUGAGUAAGGUAUGGGGAUCUGGCCGAAGGCGGGGGAUAACCACUGGAAACGGUGGCUAAUACCGCAUAAUCUCUAAGGAGCAAAGUGGGGGACCGUUCAGGCCUCACACCUUCGGGUGAACCCAUAUGAGAUUAGCUAGUAGGUGGGGUAAUGGCUCACCUAGGCGACGAUCUCUAGCUGGUCUGAGAGGAUGAUCCGCCACACUGGGACUGAGACACGGCCCAGACUCCUACGGGAGGCAGCAGUGGGGAAUAUUGCACAAUGGGCGCAAGCCUGAUGCAGCCAUGCCGCGUGUAUGAAGAAGGCCUUCGGGUUGUAAAGUACUUUCAGUCGUGAGGAAGGUGUUAAGGUUAAUAACCAUAGCAAUUGACGUUAGCGACGGAAGAAGCACCGGCUAACUCCGUGCCAGCAGCCGCAGUAA
rnacentral:rRNA from 1 species